GAAAAGGCAGAGGAAAAGGUAAAAGAAAAGAAGAGAAUGAAUUGCAGCUGAGGAAGUGGAAGAGCGAGAAGCGCUUCUAGAUACCAGACUUAACAGGUGGAUUUUUGGGUUUGCUGAAGAAGAAAAAGAAGGAGAAGGAGAAGGAGAAGAAGAAGAGAAGUGUGAUUAACAAGAAAAAAACUUAUUUGGGGUCUAUGAACACCUUGAAUAUUUAACAGAAUAUCAGCUACUCAUCUGUA
rnacentral:lncRNA from 1 species